ensembl:lncRNA
GUUGGAGGACCAUAGAGUUGCGGGGGGCCCCAUUUUGGGGUCCAGCGCUGUGCCCCAUUUUCAGCCCCAGAGCACCGCGCCCCAUUUUGGGAGCGGGGGGGGGAAUUCAGCACUGCACCCCAUUUUCAGACAGCACUGCGCCCCAUUUUGGGGUCCAGCACUGCGCCCCAUUUUCAGACACAGCACUGCGCCCAAUUUUCAGCCCCAGAGCACUGCGCCCCAUUUUGGGGUACAGCACUGCGCCCCAUUUUCAGACAGCACUGUGCCCCAUUUUGGGGUCCAGCGCUGUGCCCCAUUUUCAGCCCCAGAGCACCGCGCCCCAUUUUGGGAGCGGGGGGGGGAAUUCAGCACUGCACCCCAUUUUCAGACACAGACACAGCACUGCGCCCUAUUUUCAAACAGCACUGCGCCCCAUUUUGGGGUCCAGCACUGCGCCCCAUUUUCAGACACAGCACUGCGCCCAAUUUUCAGCCCCAGAGCACUGCGCCCCAUUUUGGGGUACAGCACUGCGCCCCAUUUUCAGACAGCACUGUGCCCCAUUUUGGGGUCCAGCGCUGUGCCCCAUUUUCAGCCCCAGAGCACCGCGCCCCAUUUUGGGAGCGGGGGGGGGAAUUCAGCACUGCACCCCAUUUUCAGACACAGACACAGCACUGCGCCCUAUUUUCAAACAGCACUGCGCCCCAUUUUGGGGUCCAGCACUGCGCCCCAUUUUCAGACACAGCACUGCGCCCAAUUUUCAGCCCCAGAGCACUGCGCCCCAUUUUGGGGUACAGCACUGCGCCCCAUUUUCAGACAGCACUGUGCCCCAUUUUGGGGUCCAGCGCUGUGCCCCAUUUUCAGCCCCAGAGCACCGCGCCCCAUUUUGGGAGCGGGGGGGGGAAUUCAGCACUGCACCCCAUUUUCAGACACAGACACAGCACUGCGCCCUAUUUUCAAACAGCACUGCGCCCCAUUUUGGGGUCCAGCACUGCGCCCCAUUUUCAGACACAGCACUGCGCCCAAUUUUCAGCCCCAGAGCACUGCGCCCCAUUUUGGGGUACAGCACUGCGCCCCAUUUUCAGACAGCACUGUGCCCCAUUUUGGGGUCCAGCGCUGUGCCCCAUUUUCAGCCCCAGAGCACCGCGCCCCAUUUUGGGAGCGGGGGGGGGAAUUCAGCACUGCACCCCAUUUUCAGACACAGACACAGCACUGCGCCCUAUUUUCAAACAGCACUGCGCCCCAUUUUGGGGUCCAGCACUGCGCCCCAUUUUCAGACACAGCACUGCGCCCAAUUUUCAGCCCCAGAGCACUGCGCCCCAUUUUGGGGUACAGCACUGCGCCCCAUUUUCAGACAGCACUGUGCCCCAUUUUGGGGUCCAGCGCUGUGCCCCAUUUUCAGCCCCAGAGCACCGCGCCCCAUUUUGGGAGCGGGGGGGGGAAUUCAGCACUGCACCCCAUUUUCAGACACAGACACAGCACUGCGCCCUAUUUUCAAACAGCACUGCGCCCCAUUUUGGGGUCCAGCACUGCGCCCCAUUUUCAGACACAGCACUGCGCCCAAUUUUCAGCCCCAGAGCACUGCGCCCCAUUUUGGGGUACAGCACUGCGCCCCAUUUUCAGACAGCACUGUGCCCCAUUUUGGGGUCCAGCGCUGUGCCCCAUUUUCAGCCCCAGAGCACCGCGCCCCAUUUUGGGAGCGGGGGGGGGAAUUCAGCACUGCACCCCAUUUUCAGACACAGACACAGCACUGCGCCCUAUUUUCAAACAGCACUGCGCCCCAUUUUGGGGUCCAGCACUGCGCCCCAUUUUCAGACACAGCACUGCGCCCAAUUUUCAGCCCCAGAGCACUGCGCCCCAUUUUGGGGUACAGCACUGCGCCCCAUUUUCAGACAGCACUGUGCCCCAUUUUGGGGUCCAGCGCUGUGCCCCAUUUUCAGCCCCAGAGCACCGCGCCCCAUUUUGGGAGCGGGGGGGGGAAUUCAGCACUGCACCCCAUUUUCAGACACAGACACAGCACUGCGCCCUAUUUUCAAACAGCACUGCGCCCCAUUUUGGGGUCCAGCACUGCGCCCCAUUUUCAGACACAGCACUGCGCCCAAUUUUCAGCCCCAGAGCACUGCGCCCCAUUUUGGGGUACAGCACUGCGCCCCAUUUUCAGACAGCACUGUGCCCCAUUUUGGGGUCCAGCGCUGUGCCCCAUUUUCAGCCCCAGAGCACCGCGCCCCAUUUUGGGAGCGGGGGGGGGAAUUCAGCACUGCACCCCAUUUUCAGACACAGACACAGCACUGCGCCCUAUUUUCAAACAGCACUGCGCCCCAUUUUGGGGUCCAGCACUGCGCCCCAUUUUCAGACACAGCACUGCGCCCAAUUUUCAGCCCCAGAGCACUGCGCCCCAUUUUGGGGUACAGCACUGCGCCCCAUUUUCAGACAGCACUGUGCCCCAUUUUGGGGUCCAGCGCUGUGCCCCAUUUUCAGCCCCAGAGCACCGCGCCCCAUUUUGGGAGCGGGGGGGGGAAUUCAGCACUGCACCCCAUUUUCAGACACAGACACAGCACUGCGCCCUAUUUUCAAACAGCACUGCGCCCCAUUUUGGGGUCCAGCACUGCGCCCCAUUUUCAGACACAGCACUGCGCCCAAUUUUCAGCCCCAGAGCACUGCGCCCCAUUUUGGGGUACAGCACUGCGCCCCAUUUUCAGACAGCACUGUGCCCCAUUUUGGGGUCCAGCGCUGUGCCCCAUUUUCAGCCCCAGAGCACCGCGCCCCAUUUUGGGAGCGGGGGGGGGAAUUCAGCACUGCACCCCAUUUUCAGACACAGACACAGCACUGCGCCCUAUUUUCAAACAGCACUGCGCCCCAUUUUGGGGUCCAGCACUGCGCCCCAUUUUCAGGCAUAACACUGAGCCCCAUUUUGGGGUCCAGCACUGCGCCCCAUUUUCAGACACAGCACUGCGUCCCAUUUGGGGGGGGGGUACAGCACUGCGCCCCAUUUUCGGACAUAGAGCUGCACCCCAUUUUGGGGCCCAGCGCUGCGCCCCAUUUUCAGCCCCAGAGCACUGCGCCCCGAAUUCUGUGCUCCAGAAUUGCCCCCGAUUUUCAAACACAGAUUUGCCCCCUAUUUUCAGAACCAACCCCACCCCCCCCGCUCCAAACCGAAGCCCCCCCAC